AUGGGAUUCUGCUGUGGGCCUUCGGAUGUCAAGGUUCUGCUGAAGAACACCUCCUUCUUGUCGUCAACGUCCUCAUCAUCGUCAUCGCCUGCUAAAGGUUCGGGCGACGGUGGCAAGAAGCAGCACCAGCAAAGGGUGAAGAACGAGCAGGGGAGGGAGAAGAAGAAGAGCAACCUUGACCGGGCUGCCAUGGCGACGCCCCGCCUCCCCUUCCAUUCACGGCCCGGUCUCAUGUAA
rnacentral:rRNA from 1 species